rnacentral:rRNA from 1 species
UACGUAGGGGGCAAGCGUUGUCCGGAAUUAUUGGGCGUAAAGAGCUCGUAGGCGGUUUGUCGCGUCGGCUGUGAAAACUCGGGGCUCAACUCCGAGCUUGCAGUCGAUACGGGCAGGCUAGAGUUCGGCAGGGGAGACUGGAAUUCCUGGUGUAGCGGUGAAAUGCGCAGAUAUCAGGAGGAACACCGGUGGCGAAGGCGGGUCUCUGGGCCGAUACUGACACUGAGGAGCGAAAGCGUGGGGAGCGAACAGG